UGCAACUCAGAUCUAGACACCAUAGUUCUUCCUCUAGAUCGUAUUUCGGCGGAGCUCGAGCGGAGCCUUGCAGGAGUAGAUCGUCACCACCACCGGAGCGUCGUCGUUACUUGCUGGAUCCAGAAGGCCGAGAUCAUCGUCGAGCUAUACGUGUGCUAAAUGCGGAGGUGUUGUCUGUUCGGCACUAGAUCGGAACGGAUCAUGGGACGGAUCGCGGGACGGUUCGUGGGGCGGUUUGUGGGACGUGAAGACGUUCCACUACACCAACCACGCUUCUUAACUCUUC
rnacentral:lncRNA from 1 species